CCAUCCUCAGACUUCGCCAGUUCUUCGUUUAUUCUUCAGUGAUCCACAUAUACCUGCCGCUCUGCCUGCCACGUCCAGCCUCCCCUCCUGGUCAGUCCAGCUCCACGUCUCCCUUCUGUGCUCUUCGUCAACUCCUUGCCAGUGUCGUGGACAAAAUAAAGCCCUUUUUUGACACUU